GUCUACAGUCAUGCCUCCUUGAAUGUGCCCGAUCUCGUCUAAUCUCAGAAGCUAAGCAGGAUCGGGCCUGGUUAGUACUUGGAUGGGAGACCACCUAGGAAGACCAGGUACUAUAAGCG
ensembl:rRNA 5S_rRNA 5S ribosomal RNA